rnacentral:tRNA from 1 species
GGGCCUGUAGCUUAGCCUGGUGGAGCAUCGGUCUUAUAAACCGAGGGUCGGGAGUUCAAAUCUCCCCAGGCCCA